rnacentral:rRNA from 1 species
AUGAACGCUAGCUACAGGCUUAACACAUGCAAGUCGCGGGGCAGCAUGAAGUCAGCUUGCUGACUUUGAUGGCGACCGGCGCACGGGUGAGUAACGCGUAUCCAACCUGCCUGUUACCACGGCACAGCCCGUCGAAAGGCGGAUUAAUGCCGUAUGUGGUCUUGAAAGGGCAUCUGAUCAUGACUAAAGGUUCAGCGGUAACGGAUGGGGAUGCGUCCGAUUAGCUAGACGGCGGGGUAACGGCCCACCGUGGCUACGAUCGGUAGGGGUUCUGAGAGGAAGGUCCCCCACACUGGAACUGAGACACGGUCCAGACUCCUACGGGAGGCAGCAGUGAGGAAUAUUGGUCAAUGGGCGUAAGCCUGAACCAGCCAAGUAGCGUGAGGGAAGACUGCCCUAUGGGUUGUAAACCUCUUUUGUGCGGGGAUAAAGUGUGGGACGUGUCCCAUAUUGCAGGUACCGCACGAAUAAGGACCGGCUAAUUCCGUGCCAGCAGCCGCGGUAAUACGUAGGUGGCGAGCGUUAUCCGGAAUGAUUGGGCGUAAAGGGUGCGUAGGUGGUUUCUUAAGUCAGAGGUGAAAGGCUACGGCUCAACCGUAGUAAGCCUUUGAAACUGGGAAACUUGAGUGCAGGAGAGGAGAGUGGAAUUCCUAGUGUAGCGGUGAAAUGCGUAGAUAUUAGGAGGAACACCAGUGGCGAAGGCGGAUUGCUGGACAGCAACUGACGGUGAGGCGCGAAAGCGUGGGGAGCAAACAGGAUUAGAUACCCUGGUAGUCCGCGCGGUAAACGAUGGAUGCCCGCCGUUGGGAUUUGGAUUUCAGCGGCCAAGCGAAAGCGUUAAGCAUCCCACCUGGGGAGUACGCCGGCAACGGUGAAACUCAAAGGAAUUGACGGGGGCCCGCACAAGCGGAGGAACAUGUGGUUUAAUUCGAUGAUACGCGAGGAACCUUACCCGGGCUUGAAUUGCAGGAGAACGAUCCAGAGAUGGUGAGGCCCUUCGGGGCUCCUGUGAAGGUGCUGCAUGGUUGUCGUCAGCUCGUGCCGUGAGGUGUCGGCUCAAGUGCCAUAACGAGCGCAACCCCUGUCCAUAGUUGCCAUCAGGUUAUGCUGGGCACUCUGUGGAGACUGCCGCCGUAAGGUGUGAGGAAGGUGGGGAUGACGUCAAAUCAGCACGGCCCUUACGUCCGGGGCUACACACGUGUUACAAUGGGGCAUACAGCGAGUUGGAUGUGCGCAAGUACGUCCGGAUCAAUAAAGUGCCUCUCAGUUCGGACUGGGGUCUGCAACCCGACCCCACGAAGCUGGAUUCGCUAGUAAUCGCGCAUCAGCCAUGGCGCGGUGAAUACGUUCCCGGGCCUUGUACACACCGCCCGUCAAGCCAUGAAAGCCGGGGGCGCCUGAAGUCCGUGACCGCGAGGGUCGGCCUAGGGUGAAACCGGUGAUUGGGGCU